GACGAACGCUGGCGGCGUGCUUAACACAUGCAAGUCGAACGGUAAGGCCCUUCGGGGUACACGAGUGGCGAACGGGUGAGUAACACGUGGGUGAUCUGCCCUGCACUUCGGGACAAGCCUGGGAAACUGGGUCCAAUACCGGAUAGGACCCUGGGAUGCAUGUCCUGGGGGGGAAAGCUUUUGCGGUGUGGGAUGGGGCCGCGGCCUAUCAGCUUGUUGGUGGGGUGAUGGCCUACCAAGGCGGCGACGGGUAGCCGGCCUGAGAGGGUGACCGGCCACACUGGGACUGAGAUACGGCCCAGACUCCUACGGGAGGCAGCAGUGGGGAAUAUUGCACAAUGGGCGCAAGCCUGAUGCAGCGACGCCGCGUGAGGGAUGACGGCCUUCGGGUUGUAAACCUCUUUCAGCACCGACGAAGCGCAAGUGACGGUAGGUGCAGAAGAAGGACCGGCCAACUACGUGCCAGCAGCCGCCGUAA
rnacentral:rRNA from 1 species